GAAGGAAAGAUGUCAACAAAUUGUAAAUAAAAACAAAUAGAAGAAGUAGAAUUAACUGCAGAUUGAGAUUAUAUUGAAUUGCAAGUGAAGAGUAGGAUUGUGGUAAAUGUAGCCAAGUUGAAGAGUGUUUGAGCCAGGUUUUAGUGCAAAGAAUUUAACCGAGGUGACGCAAUUGGUCAAAAGAUUACAAUUUGCAAAAGCCCGGUCCGGUGAAGUUACAGUUGUGACUCAGCUUACGCGGACGGUUAACGUUGGACGGCGAACAACACCCACGAACUCUAUUAAGGAAGGGACAAAGUAGUACCUGUAGAAUUGAACUGCGACAACGAUAUCUUGUUGGAAGGAAGGCAUUAACAGGAGAGAAGCAAACUUAAAAUU